AGUCUGAGUCCCCAGUGCCUGGCGUGGGUGAGCUCAGGGCUGCUCCGUAUGGGGGCAUCCAGGCCUGGCUGCUGAUGCCCUGUGGCUGAGGACACCUCCAUCUGCAUGAGCCAGUUUGGAAGUCCAGCUUGCCCCCCAGGCAGUGGAGGCCAGUAAGGGCUUCUCCCCAGAUUGACCACUCAGAUCAAAUUGAUCCAGGUGUUGAGACAGAAUUGGCCCCAUUUUCUGCUAAUUUCCAUUCUCUGAUUGUGCUGCCUGCUACAGGAGUCAUUUUGGAUUUGGGCUGACCUGGUAGACUUCUGAAAGACAGUGCUCUGGGUUCAAGUUGUCCUCAGGGCUGGAUGAUCCAUAGCAAAUAUCCCCUGAUGGAUAAGCAUUGUGCUGAGAGACUUGCCUCCAUCAGCUGUGUAAACCUCAGGAUGACCUGCACACAGCUGCCAUGCUGGGAGGAAGCCCAGCAGCCACACAGAGAGGCCACGACAGCCGAGGUCCCAGCCAAGCCAGCAUCAACUGCCCAACACGUCAAUGAGUGAUCCUGCAGAGCCUCCCAUCUCCUAGCCACCGCAGCUGAUGCUCUGAGAGCGGAGGCAAGCUGUCCUUGCUGGGCGCUGCUUAAACUGCAGAUGUAUGAACAAAAUAAAAAUGGUGGUUAUUUUAAGACACUACAUUUUGGGUCUCUAGGUGUUUGGGGGUGGUUUUUCUCUAGCAAUAGGUCCCCAGUCUUGUGCUUUUAGGGUCCUUGUCAAGAAGAAAAGUACAAUGAGGAGGCGAGCCAUGUGCCCCUUAC
rnacentral:lncRNA from 1 species